UACGAAGGGGGCUAGCGUUGCUCGGAGUCACUGGGCGUAAAGCGCACGUAGGCGGGUCUUUAAGUCAGGGGUGAAAUCCUGGAGCUCAACUCCAGAACUGCCUUUGAUACUGAGGAUCUCGAGUCCGGGAGAGGUGAGUGGAACUCCGAGUGUAGAGGUGAAAUUCGUAGAUAUUCGGAAGAACACCAGUGGCGAAGGCGGCUCACUGGCCCGGUACUGACGCUGAUGUGCGAAAGCGUGGGGAGCAAACAGG
rnacentral:rRNA from 1 species